UACGUAGGGUGCGAGCGUUGUCCGGAAUUAUUGGGCGUAAAGAGCUUGUAGGCGGUCUGUCGCGUCUGCUGUGAAAAUCCGGGGCUCAACCCCCGGACUUGCAGUGGGGUACGGGCAGACUAGAGUGUGGUAGGGGGAGACUGGAAUUCCUGGUGUAGCGGUGAAAUGCGCAGAUAUCAGGAGGAACACCGAUGGCGAAGGCAGGUCUCUGGGC
rnacentral:rRNA from 1 species